GUGGGGAAUCUUAGACAAUGGGCGCAAGCCUGAUCUAGCCAUGCCGCGUGAGCGAUGAAGGCCUUAGGGUUGUAAAGCUCUUUCAGGGGGGAAGAUAAUGACGGUACCCCCAGAAGAAGCCCCGGCUAACUCCGUGCCAGCAGCCGCGGUAAUACGGAGGGGGCUAGCGUUGUUCGGAAUUACUGGGCGUAAAGCGCACGUAGGCGGACCAGAAAGUCAGGGGUGAAAUCCCGGGGCUCAACCCCGGAACUGCCUUUGAAACUCCUGGGCUUGAGGUCGAGAGAGGUGAGUGGAAUUCCGAGUGUAGAGGUGAAAUUCGUAGAUAGUCGGAGGAACACCAGUGGCGAAGGCGGCUCACUGGCUCGAUACUGACGCUGAGGUGCGAAAGCGUGGGGAGCAAACAGGAUUAGAAACCCCGGUAGUCC
rnacentral:rRNA from 1 species